rnacentral:rRNA from 1 species
GAUGAACGCUGGCGGCGUGCCUAAUACAUGCAAGUCGAGCGAACGGACGAGAAGCUUGCUUCUCUGAUGUUAGCGGCGGACGGGUGAGUAACACGUGGAUAACCUACCUAUAAGACUGGGAUAACUUCGGGAAACCGGAGCUAAUACCGGAUAAUAUUUUGAACCGCAUGGUUCAAAAGUGAAAGACGGUCUUGCUGUCACUUAUAGAUGGAUCCGCGCUGCAUUAGCUAGUUGGUAAGGUAACGGCUUACCAAGGCAACGAUGCAUAGCCGACCUGAGAGGGGGAUCGGCCGCAUGGGAGCGGAGACAGGGUCAAGACUCCUAAGGGAGGCAGCAGUAGGGUAUCUGCCGCAAUGGGGGAAAGCCUGGCGGAGCAACGGCGCGUGAGUGAUGAAAGUCUUGGGUGCGGAAAACUCUGUUAUGAGGGAAGAACAGAUGUGUAAGUUACUGUGCACAGCUUGACGGUACCUGGUCAGAAAGCCACGGCUAACUACGUG